rnacentral:rRNA from 1 species
CCUGGGAAACUGGGUCUAAUACCGGAUAUGACCUCCUAUCGCAUGGUGGGUGGUGGAAAGAUUUAUCGGUGCAGGAUGGGCCCGCGGCCUAUCAGCUUGUUGGUGGGGUAAUGGCCUACCAAGGCGACGACGGGUAGCCGACCUGAGAGGGUGACCGGCCACACUGGGACUGAGACACGGCCCAGACUCCUACGGGAGGCAGCAGUGGGGAAUAUUGCACAAUGGGCGAAAGCCUGAUGCAGCGACGCCGCGUGAGGGAUGACGGCCUUCGGGUUGUAAACCUCUUUCAGCAGGGACGAAGCGCAAGUGACGGUACCUGCAGAAGAAGCACCGGCUAACUACGUGCCAGCAGCCGCGGUAAUACGUAGGGUGCAAGCGUUGUCCGGAAUUACUGGGCGUAAAGAGUUCGUAGGCGGUUUGUCGCGUCGUUUGUGAAAACCAGCAGCUCAACUGCUGGCUUGCAGGCGAUACGGGCAGACUUGAGUACUGCAGGGGAGACUGGAAUUCCUGGUGUAGCGGUGAAAUGCGCAGAUAUCAGGAGGAACACCGGUGGCGAAGGCGGGUCUCUGGGCAGUAACUGACGCUGAGGAACGAAAGCGUGGGUAGCGAACAGGAUUAGAUACCCUGGUAGUCCACGCCGUAAACGGUGGGCGCUAGGUGUGGGUUCCUUCCACGGAAUCCGUGCCGUAGCUAACGCAUUAAGCGCCCCGCCUGGGGAGUACGGCCGC